UCUCUGGUUGAUCCUGCCGGCGAUCACCGCUAUUGGAAUCCGCUUAAGACAUGCGAGUCGAGAGGGUUUAGACCCUCGGCAUACUGCUCAGUAACACACGGAUAAUCUACCCUAAGGUGGGGCAUAAUCUCGGGAAACUGAGGACAAUUCCCCAUAGAUCAUGGAUGCUGGAAUGCUUCAUGGUCCAAAGCUCCGGCGCCUUAGGAUGAGUCUGCGGUCUAUCAGGUUGUAGUGGGUGUAAAGGACCCACUAGCCGACGACGGGUACGGGCCAUGGGAGUGGUAGCCCGGAGAUGGAUUCUGAGACACGAAUCCAGGCCCUACGGGGCGCAGCAGGCGCGAAAACUUCGCAAUGCGCGAAAGCGCGACGAGGGGAUUCCAAGUGCAUGCACUCAGUGCAUGCUGUUUUCCAGUGUAAACAGCUGGGAGAGUAAGGGCUGGGUAAGACUGGUGCCAGCCGCCGCGGUAAUACCAGCGGCCCUAGUGGUGAUCGUUAUUAUUGGGCCUAAAGCGUCCGUAGCCGGCUCGGUAAAUCUCUGGGUAAAUCGAUAGGCUUAACUUAUCGAAUUCUGGGGAGACUGCCGGGCUUGGGACCGGGAGAGGUCGGAGGUACUCCAGGGGUAGGGGUGAAAUCCUGUAACCCUUGGGGGACCACCGGUGGCGAAGGCGUCCGACCAGAACGGGUCCGACGGUAAGGGACGAAGCCCUGGGGCGCAAACCGGAUUAGAUACCCGGGUAGUCCAGGGUGUAAACGCUGUGCGCUUGGUGUUGGGGGUCCUACGUGGGCAUCCAGUGCCGGAGAGAAGUUGUUAAGCGCACCGCCUGGGGAGUACGGUCGCAAGACUGAAACUUAAAGGAAUUGGCGGG
rnacentral:rRNA from 1 species